rnacentral:rRNA from 1 species
CGUGUAGGCGGCUUUUUAAGUCUGGAGUGAAAGCCCCAUUUUCAAGGUGGGGAGUGCUUUGGAGACUGGAGAGCUUGAGUGCGGAAGAGGUAAGUGGAAUUCCCAGUGUAGCGGUGAAAUGCGUAGAGAUUGGGAGGAACACCAGUGGCGAAGGCGACUUACUGGGCCGUAACUGACGCUGAGGCGCGAAAGCGUGGGGAGCGAACA